UUUGGUGUCAGCUUCCAGCA
rnacentral:miRNA from 1 species